CGUGUAGGCGGGACGGCAAGUCGGACGUGAAAGGCUCGGGCUCAACCCGAGAUGGCCGUUCGAAACGGCCGUUCUUGAGGGUCGAAGAGGAGCGUGGAAUUCCUGGUGUAGCGGUGAAAUGCGUAGAGAUCAGGAGGAACACCCGUGGCGAAGGCGGCGCUCUGGUCGACAACUGACGCUGAGACGCGAAAGCGUGGGGAGCGAACG
rnacentral:rRNA from 1 species